rnacentral:lncRNA from 1 species
CCCAAAGGGAAAUGGUAACAUCUCCCUACAGAGAAAACUAGCACAGAACUUAUGGGCCUCAUUGAACAGUUACGUGGGUUGGUUGGACAGAAAAAUGUUGGUUCAAUUUUCAAAUACUAAGGAGAGCUUAUUUCAGGAGUCCCUUUUCUUACUUUGUUGAGGGGAGGCAUCAGAGCACAUGCUGGGAGGAUAGGCCAGGAA